rnacentral:rRNA from 1 species
UAAAAUUUAUUAUUAAAUAAUUCAAUUUUGUUAAAUUUAAUGAGUGUUUAUAAAAUUUUAAUUUUUGAUAUUCUUAUAAUAUUUUUUUUAUUUUAAGUGCCUGUAAAGAAAAUUUAAAAAUUAAGUAAAUAAAUUAUCUUUACCUUUGGUAUUAGGGUUGUAUAAAAAAAUUGUUUGAGUUAUAAAUUCCCAAAAAAAUAUGAAUUUUAUAUAUAAUAAAAUUUAUUGUUAAAUCAAUAAAUUGUUUAAUUAUAUAAAGAUAUUAAAUGUGAUUCAAAUUUUUUAUAAUUGGUUUUAUAUUUAGUUAUUAAAGAUAAAAUUAAUUAAGUUUUAUUAUUUAUUAAAUAGUAUAAAAUUAAUUUAAUUAUUAAAGAUAAUUUUAAUAAUUAUUAAAUAUUUUAUGUUAUAGUGGUUUAAUUUAUUUUUUGAAGGUUUAAUAUUAAUUUAUUUUUGUUAUAAAAUAAAAUAUUAAAAGGUGAAAGUUAAUAUUUUAAAAAAUAUUAAUUAAUUAUUUAUUUUAAAAUAAUUAUAAAAAUUUAUAAAUUAGUAUAAAAAGAUUAAUAUUUUUAAUGAACUCGACAAAUAAAUUUUUUAAUUGUUUAAUAAAAACAUUUUUAUUAGAGGAUAAUUAAUAGUAAAUUCUGCUCAAUGUUUAAAUUAAUUGCUGAAGUAUCCUAACUUCACAAAGGUAUUGAAAUAAGGCUUUAAUUGGGUGCUAAGAGAAUGGAUUAAUAAAAAAUAAUUUUAUUAGGGAUAAUAAUAAAAAUUUAUCUAAAAAUGAAAAAGUUUUUAUUUUUUUAUGGGACAAGAAGACCCUAUGAAUUUUUUAUUUAAUUUAAAUAUUUAUUUAUUUUUAGAUUAAAUUUUGAUUGGGGCGAUAGAAAAAGAAUAAAUAUCUUUAUUUUAAUGAUUUUUUAAACGUUAAUUAAAAAAUACUCUAGGGAUAACAGCGUUAUUAGUUUGGAUAGUUCAUAUUGAUAAACUAGUUUGCGACCUCGAUGUUGAAUUAGUAAGCCUAAAAAAAGUAGAAUUUUUUUAAGGAAGAUUGUUCAUCUUUUAAAUUACUACAUGAUUUGAGUUUAGACCGGCGCGAGCCAGGUCAGUUUCUAUCUAUAAAUUGACUAAAAAUUAAAUUAGUACGAAA